GACGAACGCUGGCGGCGUGCUUAACACAUGCAAGUCGAACGGAAAGGCCCUGCUUUUGUGUGGUUCUCGCGUGGCGCACGGGUGUGUAACACGUGAGUAUCCUGCCCUUGACUGUGGGAUAACUUCAGGAAACUGGGGCUACUACCUGAUAGGAGCUCCUGCUGCAUGGUGGGGGUUGGAAAGUUUCGGCCGUUGGGGAUGGACUCGCGGCUUAUUAGCUUGUUGGUGGGGUAGUGGCUUACCAAGGCUUUGGCGGGUAGCCGGCAUGAGAGGGUGACCGGCGACAUUGGGACUGAGAGACGGCGCAGACGGCUACGGGGGGCAGCAGUGGGGAGUAUUGCACAAUGGGCGGAAGCCUGAUGAAGCAGCGCCGCGUGCGGGAUGACGGCCUUCGGGUGGUAAACCGCUUUCGCCUGUGACGAAGCGUGAGUGACGGUAAUGGGUAAAGAAGCACCGGCUAACUACGUG
rnacentral:rRNA from 1 species